rnacentral:rRNA from 1 species
GACGAACGCUGGCGGCGUGCUUAACACAUGCAAGUCGAACGGAAAGGCCCUGCCUUUGUGGGGUGCUCGAGUGGCGAACGGGUGUGUAACCCGUGAGUAACCUGCCCUUGCCUUUGGGAUCACUUCUGGAAACUGGGGCUAAUACCGGAUAGGCGAUCCUGCUGCAUGGUGGGGGUUGGAACGUUUCGGCGGUUGGGGAUGGACACGCGGCUUAUCAGCUUGUUGGUGGGGUAGUGGCUUCACAAGGCUGUGACGGGUAGCCAGACUGAGAGGGUGACCGGCGACGUUGUGACUCAAAUACAGCCCGCACGGCUACGGGGGGCAGCAGUGCAGAAUGUUGCACAAGGGGCGGAAGCCUGGUGAAACAACACCGCGUGCGGGAUGACGGCCUUUAGGUGAUAAUUCGGUGGCGCCUGUGACGAAGCGUGAGUGACGGUAAUUUGUAAAGAAGCACCGACUAACUACGUG